GACUCUCGGUAAUGGAUAUCCUGGCUCUCACCAUGAUGAAGAAUGUAGCGAAAUGUGAUACUUAGUGUGAAUUGCAAAAUCCUGUGAAUCAUCGAGUCUUUGAAAACAAGUUGCACCCGAGGCCUCAGUCAAGGGCAUAUCUGCUUGGGCAUCG